UACGUAGGGUGCGAGCGUUAAUCGGAAUUACUGGGCGUAAAGCGUGCGCAGGCGGUUCGUUGUGUCGGUGGUGAAAGCCCCGGGCUUAACCUGGGAAUGACCGUUGAAACUGGCGAACUGGAGUGUGGCAGAGGGGGGUGGAAUUCCGCGUGUAGCAGUGAAAUGCGUAGAGAUGCGGAGGAACACCGAUGGCGAAGGCAGCCCCCUGGGCUAACACUGACGCUCAGGCACGAAAGCGUGGGGAGCAAACAGG
rnacentral:rRNA from 1 species